rnacentral:rRNA from 1 species
AGUCUAGGCGGUCAGGUAAGUGGGAUGUGAAAUCCCUCGGCUCACCCGAGGACCUGCAUCUCAAACUGCCUGGCUUGAGUAUGGGAGAGGAUGAGGGAAUUCCUGGUGUAGCGGUGAAAUGCGUAGAUAUCAGGAGGAACACCGGUGGCGAAGGCGCUCAUCUGGCCCAAUACUGACGCUGAAGCUCGAAAGCUAGGGGAGCAAACGGGAUUAGAUACCCCGGUAGUCCUAGCCGUAAACGGUGAUCACUAGGUGUUGGAGGCAUCGACCCCUCCAGUGCCGCAGCUAACGCAUUAAGUGAUCCGCCUGGGGAGUACGGCCGCAAGGUUGAA